GACAGGGGUCUCGAGCGUUAAUCGGAAUCACUGGGCUUAAAGGGUGCGUAGGCGGUCCUGUAAGUGUCCUGUGAAAUCCCCCGGCUCAACCGGGGAACUGCGGGGCAUACUGCGGGUCUUGAGGAAGGUAGGCGCCGAGGGAACAGUAGGUGGAGCGGUGAAAUGCGUAGAUAUCUACUGGAACGCCGAUGGUGAAGACGCUCGGCUGGGCCUUUCCUGACGCUGAGGCACGAAAGCGUGGGGAGCAAACAGG
rnacentral:rRNA from 1 species